AGCGAACGCUGGCGGCAGGCCUAACACAUGCAAGUCGAACGAACUCUUCGGAGUUAGUGGCGGACGGGUGAGUAACACGUGGGAACGUGCCUUUUGGUUCGGAAUAACUCAGGGAAACUUGUGCUAAUACCGAAUGUGCCCUUCGGGGGAAAGAUUUAUCGCCAUUAGAGCGGCCCGCGUCUGAUUAGCUAGUUGGUGAGGUAACGGCUCACAAAGGCGACGAUCAGUAGCUGGUCUGAGAGGAUGACCAGCCACACUGGGACUGAGACACGGCCCAGACUCCUACGGGAGGCAGCAGUGGGGAAUCUUGCGCAAUGGGCGAAAGCCUGACGCAGCCAUGCCGCGUGAAUGAUGAAGGUCUUAGGAUUGUAAAAUUCUUUCACCGGGGACGAUAAUGACGGUACCCGGAGAAGAAGCCCCGGCUAACUUCGUG
rnacentral:rRNA from 1 species